GAGUGAAGCGGCAAGAGCUCAGAUAUUGAAAUCGUGUUUCGGCACGAGUUGUAAAUUGCAGGUUGGAGUCUUUGUGGAUGUGCGUGUCCAAGUCCCUUGGAACAGGGCGCCACUGAGGGUGAGAGCCCCGUGGGAUGCGCAUUGAAGCUGUAAGGCCCUUCUGACGAGUCGAGUUGUUUGGGAAUGCAGCUCUAAGCGGGUGGUAAAUUCCAUCUAAGGCUAAAUAUUGGCGAGAGACCGAUAGCGAACAAGUACUGUGAAGGAAAGAUGAAAAGCACUUUGAAAAGAGAGUGAAACAGCACGUGAAAUUGUUGAAAGGGAAGGGUAUUGGGUCCGACAUGGGGACUGCGCAUCGUUGCUUCUUGUAGGCGGCGCUCUGUGCUCUCUCUGGGCCAGCAUCGGUUUUUGCCGCAGGAUAAGGGGCGUUGGAACGUGGCUCCUCGGAGUGUUAUAGCCAACGCCAGAUGCUGCGAGCGGGGACCGAGGGCUGCGACAUUUGUCUCGGAUGCUGGCAUAACGGCUCAAUACCGCCCGUCUUGAAACACGGACC
rnacentral:rRNA from 1 species